rnacentral:rRNA from 1 species
GACGAACGCUGGCGGCGUGGAUUAGGCAUGCAAGUCGAACGGUAUCAUCCUUUCGGGGGUGAGAGAGUGGCGAACUGGUGAGUAACACGUAGGUUAUCUACCCUCAAGACGGGGACAACCCAGGGAAACUUGGGCUAAUACCGGAUGUGAGCAACUUUUAGUUGUUUGAAAGGUGGCGUAAGCUGUCGCUUGGGGAUGAGCCUGCGUCCUAUUAGUUAGUUGGUGAGGUAACGGCUCACCUAGGCAAUGAUAGGUAGGCGGCCUUAACGGGUGGUCGCCCACACUGGGAUUGAGAUACGGCCCAGACUCCUACGGGAGGCAGCAGUCGAGAAUAGUCUACAAUGGUCGGAAGACUGAUAGUGCGACGCCGCGUGAACGAUGAAUCCCUUCGGGGUGUAAGUUCUUUUAUAUGUGAGCAGUGCUUCUUAUAUUAACAGUAUGGGAGAGAGAUAUUAGCAUAUGAAUAAGCAAAAACGGCUAACUCCGUGCCAGCAGCCGCGGUAAUU